CAGAGUUCUCGGGGCAGGGUGCAAUUCCCUACCGGCGGUGAUGAUCGAAUUUCGAUCGAGCCCGCGAGCGCCCGCAUAGGCCACGGCUGAUUGCGGGGACAGCAGAUCCGGUGUGAAUCCGGAGCCGACGGUCAUAGUCCGGAUGUGAGAGAACACCG
rnacentral:ncRNA from 2 species